GUGCUUGCUUUGGCAGCACAUAUACUAGAGCUGGAAUGAUACUGAGAUUAGCAUGGCCCCUGUACAAGGAUGACAUACAAAUUUGUGAAGCAGUUCAUAUUUUG